UAGCUACAGGCUUAACACAUGCAAGUCGAGGGGCAGCAUGGUCUUAGCUUGCUAAGGCCGAUGGCGACCGGCGCACGGGUGAGUAACACGUAUCCAACCUGCCGUCUACUCUUGGACAGCCUUCUGAAAGGAAGAUUAAUACAAGAUGGCAUCAUGAGUCCACAUGUUCACAUGAUUAAAGGUAUUCCGGUAGACGAUGGGGAUGCGUUCCAUUAGAUAGUAGGCGGGGUAACGGCCCACCUAGUCUUCGAUGGAUAGGGGUUCUGAGAGGAAGGUCCCCCACAUUGGAACUGAGACACGGUCCAAACUCCUACGAGAGGCAGCAGUGAGGAAUAUUGGUCAAUGGGCGAGAGCCUGAACCAGCCAAGUAGCGUGAAGGAUGACUGCCCUAUGGGUUGUAAACUUCUUUUAUAAAGGAAUAAAGUCGGGUAUGCAUACCCGUUUGCAUGUACUUUAUGAAUAAGGAUCGGCUAACUCCGUGCCAGCAGCCGCGGUAAUACGGAGGAUCCGAGCGUUAUCCGGAUUUAUUGGGUUUAAAGGGAGCGUAGAUGGAUGUUUAAGUCAGUUGUGAAAGUUUGCGGCUCAACCGUAAAAUUGCAGUUGAUACUGGAUAUCUUGAGUGCAGUUGAGGCAGGCGGAAUUCGUGGUGUAGCGGUGAAAUGCUUAGAUAUCACGAAGAACUCCGAUUGCGAAGGCAGCCUGCUAAGCUGCAACUGACAUUGAGGCUCGAAAGUGUGGGUAUCAAACAGGAUUAGAUACCCUGGUAGUCCACACGGUAAACGAUGAAUACUCGCUGUUUGCGAUAUACUGCAAGCGGCCAAGCGAAAGCGUUAAGUAUUCCACCUGGGGAGUACGCCGGCAACGGUGAAACUCAAAGGAAUUGACGGGGGCCCGCACAAGCGGAGGAACAUGUGGUUUAAUUCGAUGAUACGCGAGGAACCUUACCCGGGCUUAAAUUGCAGAUGAAUUACGGUGAAAGCCGUAAGCCGCAAGGCAUCUGUGAAGGUGCUGCAUGGUUGUCGUCAGCUCGUGCCGUGAGGUGUCGGCUUAAGUGCCAUAACGAGCGCAACCCUUGUUGUCAGUUACUAACAGGUUCCGCUGAGGACUCUGACAAGACUGCCAUCGUAAGAUGUGAGGAAGGUGGGGAUGACGUCAAAUCAGCACGGCCCUUACGUCCGGGGCUACACACGUGUUACAAUGGGGGGUACAGAGGGCCGCUACCACGCGAGUGGAUGCCAAUCCCAAAAACCUCUCUCAGUUCGGACUGGAGUCUGCAACCCGACUCCACGAAGCUGGAUUCGCUAGUAAUCGCGCAUCAGCCACGGCGCGGUGAAUACGUUCCCGGGCCUUGUACACACCGCCCGUCAAGCCAUGGGAGCCGGGGGUACCUGAAGUGCGUAACCGCGAGGAGCGCCCUAGGGUAAAACUGGUGACUGGGGCU
rnacentral:rRNA from 1 species